GAUGGCGACCGGCGCACGGGUGCGUAACGCGUAUGCAACCUACCUGUAAUUAGGGGAUAACCCGGUGAAAGUCGGACUAAUACCCUAUAUUCUUCUUUAUUCGCAUGGAUAUGGACGGAAAGAUUAAUUGAUUACAGAUGGGCAUGCGUCCCAUUAGCUGGUUGGUAAGGCAACGGCUUACCAAGGCAACGAUGGGUAGGGGGACUGAGAGGUUGACCCCCCACACUGGUACUGAGACACGGACCAGACUCCUACGGGAGGCAGCAGUGAGGAAUAUUGGUCAAUGGGCGAGAGCCUGAACCAGCCAAGUCGCGUGAAGGAAGACGGUUCUAUGGAUUGUAAACUUCUUUUGUAGAGGAAUAAUGGCGGUUACGCGUAACCGAGAUGCAAGUACUCUACGAAUAAGCAUCGGCUAACUCCGUGCCAGCAGCCGCGGUAAUACGGAGGAUGCGAGCGUUAUCCGGACUUAUUGGGUUUAAAGGGUGCGUAGGUGGCUUGUUAAGUCAGUGGUGAAAAGCUGAAGCUCAACUGUAGUCUUGCCGUUGAAACUGACGGGCUAGAGAGGAAA
rnacentral:rRNA from 1 species